AUUUUUGUUUCUUAUUUGUAAAUUCAAGUAAAGCUUUAAUCUUUCACAUUGUGCAGACAGGCACUGUUUAGCCAAUUGGUACAAAUGGCGCAGCCCUAAGGAGAUUUGGUACAAAGAUUCAUAACAAGAAUAGUGCUAGCUGGCCUAGCCUGUUCAGCAUGUACAAAAAUAAGUUUCCCAAAACACAGAAGUGAUUUUUAAAAAUGUGUGGACAUUCUGAUUUUAAUACACUGUUCCGUAUGUGGCAUUCUAAUAGAAGAGGCUAGUAAAAUUCUUGAAUUAGAUUGUUUGCCAUCUGCU